rnacentral:lncRNA from 1 species
UAAGUUGUUCGCUUUCAUCCUGCUCGGGUUAGCUGAUGACUGAAUAGGGGCAGCUGUAACACCCCAAAAUUUGCCCUCCUCAUUCAUGCAUUCAUUUUUAGGUCAUUUAACAUUUCGUAUUGCAUUUCAUCAUGUCAAUCAGAAUCAGAUCCAAGAAACUUUAUUUUAAAAAAAAACGAACAAAAAAAAGAAAAACGAAA